ensembl:lncRNA
GCCCUGCAGUCCUUUCACUUUGUAGUUGUAGACAACCCUCUUUACCUGUUGGUGGCGCUGUCGGCUCGCUCUUUCCUGAACAGCUUUGUGUUGGAGUCCGUUCCUCUGCCGGGGUUUAUGCGCAGCCCCGAGUCUGAAAGUCUGUACCAAAGAUGGAGGGAGGAGGCGGAGGAGGAGCUCACACUCACACACAGAUUCAAAGACGUGAUUGAAAAACAUCAAAAUAAAAGUGACAUUUAUAAAACCAUCAACGUCUUCAGAGAACACCUGAUGAACCAGAAGAUCCUCCACAGGCACAUAGAAUGUGAAGAAUAACGAAUGAAAC